rnacentral:rRNA from 1 species
UACGUAGGGUGCGAGCGUUAAUCGGAAUUACUGGGCGUAAAGCGUGCGCAGGCGGUCUGUUAAGACCGAUGUGAAAUCCCCGGGCCUUAACCUGGGAACUGCAUUGGUGACUGGCAGGCUUUGAGUGUGGCAGAGGGAGGUAGAAUUCCACGUGUAGCAGUGAAAUGCGUAGAGAUGUGGAGGAAUACCGAUGGCGAAGGCAGCCUCCUGGGCCAACACUGACGCUCAUGCACGAAAGCGUGGGGAGCAAACAGG